GAUGAACGCUAGCUACAGGCUUAACACAUGCAAGUCGAGGGGAAACGAUAUUGGAAGCUUGCUUCUGAUAGGCGUCGACCGGCGCACGGGUGAGUAACGCGUAUCCAACCUGCCCAUCACUUGGGGAUAACCUUGCGAAAGUAAGACUAAUACCCAAUGACGUCUCUAGAAGACAUCUGAAAGAGAUUAAAGAUUUAUCGGUGAUGGAUGGGGAUGCGUCUGAUUAGCUUGUUGGCGGGGUAACGGCCCACCAAGGCGACGAUCAGUAGGGGUUCUGAGAGGAAGGUCCCCCACAUUGGAACUGAGACACGGUCCAAACUCCUACGGGAGGCAGCAGUGAGGAAUAUUGGUCAAUGGACGAGAGUCUGAACCAGCCAAGUAGCGUGCAGGAUGACGGCCCUAUGGGUUGUAAACUUCUUUUAUAAAGGAAUAAAGUCGGGUAUGGAUACCCGUUUGCAUGUACUUUAUGAAUAAGGAUCGGCUAACUCCGUG
rnacentral:rRNA from 1 species